rnacentral:lncRNA from 1 species
UCUUUAUAUAUAAAGUUAGUUUUUUCUCUUCUUAUGACAAGUGGCAAGGGGGUUUGAUGACAUGUGUCUUUCAUAUUUUUUGUUUUAUAUUUUAAGUCCUUUUUCUUAUAGAUUAUUGCAAUUUAGCGAAGUACUUUCUAAUUAUGCACUAUUUACUCUUUUAAUAUUAACCAUCUUUGUAUAAAAUUUGAUAAUUUAUUUUAUUGGUCACUAAAAUUCAAGAUGAAUAAAAAAUAAAUAAAUAAAAUAAAUAAAUAAAUAAUUUUAAAUAUUUUCUAUUAUUUUUGUUAUUUUACCAUUUUCUAUUAUUUUAUGAUGAGAGGAUUCAUGAUGAGGAAGAAGAGAAGCAUGACGAGCAAAACCAAGAUAAACUUAUGUAUGCAGACUCUCACAACAGGAUAUGUAUGAUUCGGGAAGAGGCGGUCGGUAUGGAUAUCGAGGAAGAGGUCGUGGUAGAUUUGGAUAUCAACAAAACAGAUAUUAUAGGCAAGAGAGAGACACAUCAAAGGUUGAGUGUUACCGAUGUGAUAAGAUAGGUCACUUCGCUCAGAACUGCCCUACAACUUCCACAAAUAACCAAACUAAUAAGAAAAAACUAGAAUACAACGCAUAAUCUAAACCUACAACUUCCACAACCAAAAGAAAAAAACCAAUUAUACUAUAGUAACACUAACUCAAUAAAAGUUUGGAGCCGGAAAAAGAUCAACAAAGAAAACUAACUUACCUCAUCUUACCAAUAAUAUCAUGGAUAGAACAAGCAGAUGUUAGAAAAGAUAAAAGGAUAUUUCUUCUGUUCCAAAAUAUUUGAUGUUUUGAGUGUAUGAACAGGAAUUAAGGUAUACAUUUUUUUCUAAAAGAAACAUUAAAAAUAUAAACCAAAAUUAAUUCAUCCAAUCCUUAAAAAUAAAUAUAAAACAUCACUGGUCACACAGUUUUCAAUAAAAUUUAAAUUAAUAUAAAAUAUCAAAACAUCAUCUAUUUUGAAACAUCAUAACUUUUCUAAAACAUCAUCUAUUUUGGAACAGAGGGAGUAAAAUAUAAGACAAAACAUUCCUCCGAGCUCAAAGGAGCGUGAUCAAGCACCAACCCAAAAAACCCAAAAAACCAAAAAGGUCAGAGAAAGAAUAAUCAUCAGGAGACCAGAGUCACCACGAAACAAGAAGACACAUGCCACAAGCACCGGAAUCACAACCACCAGCUAAAAGGUAAGAAGCACC